rnacentral:rRNA from 1 species
AUGUUCCAUGUGUUGUAUGAGAUGUCAUGUUUUUGCACAAAUUACGAUACGAUUGGCCAUGUUACAAAACAGUGCAUGGAUGGGGUUCAUGAUCCAAAGAAGUUUCGGUUUGGCAAUUUUAUGAUGGUUCCAACCUAG